GACGAACGCUGGCGGCGUGCUUAACACAUGCAAGUCGAACGGAAAGGCCCUGCUUGCAGGGUACUCGAGUGGCGAACGGGUGAGUAACACGUGGGUGAUCUGCCCUGCACUUCGGGAUAAGCCUUGGAAACUGGUUCUAAUACCGGAUAGGAGCCAUUUUUAGUGUGAUGGUUGGAAAGUUUUUUCUGUGUAGCUUGAGCUCGCGGCCUAUCAGCUUGUUGGUGGGGUAAUGGCCUACCAAGGCGGCGACGGGUAGCCGGCCUGGGAGGGUGGACGGCCACAGUGGGACUGGGACACGGCCAAGACUCAUACGGGAGGCAGCGGCAGGGGAGAUUGCACAAUGGGCGCAAGCCUGAUGCAGAGACGCCGCGUGGGGGAUGACGGCCUUGGGGUUGUAAAUUCAUUUCGCUAGGGACGAAGCUUUUUGUGACGGUACCUAGAUAAGAAGCACCGGCUAACUACGUG
rnacentral:rRNA from 1 species